GCUAUUUUGACAGAUAAAUGUGAUGGUUUUAGAAAUCAUUUAUAUAUAAUUUUAAUUAUAUAAAUAGUA
rnacentral:tRNA from 1 species